GUGAACAUAGUUUAAGGAAAACACUAGAUUGUGAUUCUAGUAAUGAAGGUUAACCCCCUUCUGUCC
rnacentral:tRNA from 1 species